UACGUAGGGUGCAAGCGUUGUCCGGAAUUAUUGGGCGUAAAGAGCUCGUAGGCGGUUUGUCGCGUCUGCUGUGAAAUCCCGAGGCUCAACCUCGGGUCUGCAGUGGGUACGGGCAGACUAGAGUGUGGUAGGGGAGAUUGGAAUUCCUGGUGUAGCGGUGGAAUGCGCAGAUAUCAGGAGGAACACCGAUGGCGAAGGCAGAUCUCUGGGCCAUUACUGACGCUGAGGAGCGAAAAGCAUGGGGGAGCGAACAGG
rnacentral:rRNA from 1 species